UCCUGUUAUACACCAAGCACCUGCAUUGGUUCCUCAAAAAAUUACAGGAUAGGACAAGGAUAAGAAGCAGUCAGUGGGCUGAACCAGCUGUGACAGAAUGGCCUUUUUACUAACAGCAGCCAUGGUUUUCCAGACUUUACUGGGAAAUGCUGCUGGAGAAGGAUGGGAAUCAUAUAACAAUUUUUCCUUUUGGAACUACACAUUUUAUUUCUACGACAAUUACACAGAUGAUUAUCCUCCAGAAAACUCCACAGAUUAUUAUUCUACAGAAUACCCCACAGAUUAUUAUUCUCCAGAAUACCCCACAGAUUAUUAUGGUGAAUUCGAAACUUCAUUUGGAAAGGAUUUGACAGAGUCUGCAGGAUCAUCACUCCAGGGCCAUCUUCCCUUCUUAUUUGUCCUUCUCCAUCUUCUAUGUUUUUUGCUACAACAAUUCACAUUUCUUUUGUAGAAGAUGUGAACAGCUUUGCUUUGAAUUAGAACAUUCCUCAAGGAGGAAAACAAAGAACUCUGCCACAUUUGUAAAUUACUUCCCCUACAGUGAAUCAGUCAUCUUUUUUUUUAUUGCAGUUUAUGUAUUUAUGUAGAAACACAAAAAUAUAAAAUAAAUGUAACAGCUAUGUUUCCUCACAA